AGAGCAGGGGUCUAGAAGGCUGUGAACUUCUCUCUUGCCCUGAUGUAUCGCCUGUUGGGAAGCUAAGCUUUAAAGGGGACAAGCACCGUCCAGAUGGCAGAAUGAAGAGAUGAGCUUGGAUGGUGAAGUCCCUGCCUCGUUCUGGACCGACGUGCUCAACAAGGCCUGGGCCACAUGGGGGAGGAGCCCUCUCACCUCGUUGUCACCACGGCCUUUGCCUUGACCUUGGAGCUUCCCGGGAGCUGCCCGUCUUCUCCUGGGGAAGAGUGACUUCCUCUGGCAUCCGGCUCACAACUACGCCCCGGGCGCAAGAAGGGGCUGACUUCCCACCUUCUCCUUCUAAAGGUGGCUUCUCACCUCAAAUGUACCUAACUCAGGUCCUCAGGCCUUGACUCAACACCGUGUCCCUUCCUGCUGGCCAUGCUCCUUCCCUCGGCUUCCCUUGGGCAGCCAAAGUGUGGGCUGCCUUGAUCUAAACCUGAAAGACGCAAAGGGUUUCACCAGAAGAUACGUGUCGGACACUCAACCCUUCAUUUAUGGUCUGUGUGACCUCAGCCUUGUGGAACCUCAGUUUCC